AUCAUGAUUUUUACAAAAAGGAAAUUUUCCUGAGCAGCACUCAGCAAUGGAUCCAACGUGGAAGACAUGCCUUUUGCAACAAUCGAACGGUUAUCCUGCUGCUUCUACGCAUACGCUAUGACAAGUCUGGAGAUUGAACCAAAUCGGAAUCAAAAGCCAAUGCCACAUUAUUGGAAUAAAUACAAAACGUAGGCAUUACGACGUGUCCUUAAGUUUCAACGGUAUUUACGGAAUUUGUUAUUGCAGCUUUAAGAACCGGAUCAACACUUAUAGGCAACAUCGAAAAUAAUCCAGCUACCUGGUAAGUCGGUGGCCGUAAGAAGAACAGGCGUCGGAAGCCUAAAUUGCUGAGACUACAGUUCCUGUGAAUCCCCUUCUAUCUACAGAAAUUCCUUCCAACAACAAAAUAGCAGUCUUUACCAGAAAGCGGUCCCAGAAAAGAUGCCGACUCUUGCUAAAACUGUCCUGUGCGAGCAGAAGCGACCAGUGCUUUUUGGAAGUCUUGAUACGCACAACAGGCAACUUACGGCAAUGCAAUCCGCAUGGAGUCAGUCCGGAAAAUGAUGCGCAACAAAACGAUGUUGGUGAAACGCGAAGCUAUAAUCAACUCGGGACUGCAAUCAUCUAUUAUUUUUAAUAAUGGAAAAAAACGUUUGUGAGAUAGCUUAAGGUUUGAUUAUAAAAAUAAAUAAAUAAAUAAAUUUGGUAUAAACGUUCAA